rnacentral:tRNA from 1 species
AAAGAAUUAGUUAAAAUAACAUUAAAUUGUCAAUUUAAAAUUAUUAUGAAAAUAAUAUUCUUUU